GCCCGCAUCUCUGGAUCCC
rnacentral:miRNA from 1 species